AUUGAACGCUGGCGGCAGGCUUAACACAUGCAAGUCGAGCGGAGACUUCGGUCUUAGCGGCGAACGGGUGAGUAAUACCUAGGAAUCUGCCUAUUAGUGGGGGAUAACGAAUCGAAAGGUUCGCUAAUACCGCAUACGUCCUACGGGAGAAAGAGGGGGAUCUUCGGACCUCUUGCUAAUAGAUGAGCCUAGGCCGGAUUAGCUAGUUGGUAGGGUAAAGGCCUACCAAGGCGACGAUCUGUAGCUGGUCUGAGAGGAUGGCCAGCCACACUGGAACUGAGACACGGUCCAGACUCCUACGGGAGGCAGCAGUGGGGAAUAUUGGACAAUGGGGGCAACCCUGAUCCAGCCAUGCCGCGUGUGUGAAGAAGGCC
rnacentral:rRNA from 1 species